rnacentral:tRNA from 1 species
GCCUCCGUAGUUCAGCCUGGAUUAGAAUACAGGACUGCGGAUCCUGUGGCCCGGGUUCAAAUCCCGGCGGAGGCA